AUACAUGCAAGUCGAACGCUUUGUGGUUCAACUGAUUUGAAGAGCUUGCUCAGAUAUGACGAUGGACAUUGCAAAGAGUGGCGAACGGGUGAGUAACACGUGGGAAACCUACCUCUUAGCAGGGGAUAACAUUUGGAAACAGAUGCUAAUACCGUAUAACAAUGACAACCGCAUGGUUGUUAUUUAAAAGAUGGUUCUGCUAUCACUAAGAGAUGGUCCCGCGGUGCAUUAGCUAGUUGGUAAGGUAAUGGCUUACCAAGGCGAUGAUGCAUAGCCGAGUUGAGAGACUGAUCGGCCACAAUGGGACUGAGACACGGCCCAUACUCCUACGGGAGGCAGCAGUAGGGAAUCUUCCACAAUGGGCGAAAGCCUGAUGGAGCAACGCCGCGUGUGUGAUGAAGGGUUUCGGCUCGUAAAACACUGUUGUAAGAGAAGAAUGACAUUGAGAGUAACUGUUCAAUGUGUGACGGUAUCUUACCAGAAAGGAACGGCUAAAUACGUGCCAGCAGCCGCGGUAAUACGUAUGUUCCAAGCGUUAUCGGGAUUUAUUGGGCGUAAAGCGAGCGCAGACGGUUAUUUAAGUCUGAAGUGAAAGCUCUCAGCUCAACUGAGGAAUUGCUUUGGAAACUGGAUGACUUGAGUGCAGUAGAGGAAAGUGGAACUCCAUGUGUAGCGGUGAAAUGCGUAGAUAUAUGGAAGAACACCAGUGGCGAAGGCGGCUUUCUGGACUGUAACUGACGUUGAGGCUCGAAAGUGUGGGUAGCAAACAGGAUUAGAUACCCUGGUAGUCCACACCGUAAACGAUGAGUGCUAGGUGUUUGAGGGUUUCCGCCCUUAAGUGCCGCAGCUAACGCAUUAAGCACUCCGCCUGGGGAGUACGACCGCAAGGUUGAAACUCAAAGGAAUUGACGGGGACCCGCACAAGCGGUGGAGCAUGUGGUUUAAUUCGAAGCAACGCGAAGAACCUUACCAGGUCUUGACAUCCCUUGACAACUCCAGAGAUGGAGCGUUCCCUUCGGGGACAAGGUGACAGGUGGUGCAUGGUUGUCGUCAGCUCGUGUCGUGAGAUGUUGGGUUAAGUCCCGCAACGAGCGCAACCCUUAUUACUAGUUGCCAGCAUUCAGUUGGGCACUCUAGUGAGACUGCCGGUGACAAACCGGAGGAAGGUGGGGAUGACGUCAAAUCAUCAUGCCCCUUAUGACCUGGGCUACACACGUGCUACAAUGGCGUAUACAACGAGUUGCCAACCCGCGAGGGUGAGCUAAUCUCUUAAAGUACGUCUCAGUUCGGAUUGUAGGCUGCAACUCGCCUACAUGAAGUCGGAAUCGCUAGUAAUCGCGGAUCAGCACGCCGCGGUGAAUACGUUCCCGGGUCUUGUACACACCGCCCGUCACACCAUGAGAGUUUGUAACACCCAAAGCCGGUGGGGUAACCUUCGGGAGCCAGCCGUCUAA
rnacentral:rRNA from 1 species